rnacentral:lncRNA from 1 species
UUUGUACAUGAUGGUAAAUGAUGUAAAGAAAAGGAUGUAAAGCUUAUUUUGAGGUAAAUGUGAUGUAAGAAAGAAAUGAGAAAUUAUGUAAUGAAAUGCAAAGAAUCCUAAAUGUAAGAGAUGGAUGCAAUGUAUAUGAUCUAAAAUGAAUCAUAUUACUUGUGAAUGUUUAGUUUCCUUUUUCUUUCACUAAUGGCUAUUGCUUACCCUCGCGUAAGCCGUUUGUGUAUGUUUCCGCUAGUGCAUUUCUUGUUGAAUUUGUACACGUGAUGAGCCUUGGGCGGAUAGGGGAAACUCUGUCCGUUCGGCGUCUGUUU